rnacentral:lncRNA from 1 species
UUUUUUUUCUUUUUCCUGGUAGGAUCUUGAUCAAGUUUUUCAUUCUAAUACAAUGGUGGUUCCGAGCCUUUCCUUCCUGUGACUUUAAGGUUCCAGACCUGCUGGGAGGUCAGGGAUGAGAGAGACCUAGGGCCUCCAAGAAGAGAAACCCUUCAUCUUCUCUUGGCUGCCCCAGGCUGGGGCUGGCUGGUUGUCCUGUCGCAGGACUAUGAAAGCGGAGCACAAGCCUGGGCACUUUCCAGCUUCAGAGACCAUCCCAUCCUUGACCAAGAGGAAUUUAGCCACUUCUCACCGUGCUGUCACACCCUAGCCACAGUGUUCCUCAAUGGGGAGCCUGGACAUGGGUCAACGCUGGGGUUUAGCUGAGGGCAAGAGGGAGGGAGCCUUUGCCUCCUCUCCUGUCCUGACUGGGAAGGAUCCAUACUCUUUCCCUAAAAGAAGUCCUUGCGCUUUCACUGAAAGGGCCAACCUCUUGCUGUAGGCCUCUAUCUAGGGUGAAGGGCAGUUUCCAUCCUCCUCCAAAGGGUGGAGUCAGUGCCAACAGCAGCGGGGACCCUCACACAGGACUCCUGAGGCAGCAGAGAAAGCUGAGGGAGGAGGGGUACAGUCCAUAGCCAUCACCUGUCCAUGCCCACACUGCCCUCGACCCCUUGGGAAACAUGAGACAGCAUCUGAUCCCUGCCCUUCCAACCUUCCAGGACCUGAGAGUUUUAGGGAGCCAGACUGGGUUAGGACAGAGGAGACCAUAGUCUGCUAAGUCUCCUUUCACCAGGGCAGGACCACUUUCCAACUCGGCAUCCUGCACUUUACAUGGUCUUCCUUUCAGUACAAGUGCAAACUCAGGACAGAGAAGAGUGAUGGGUAGGGGCAGAUCUUGAAGCGUCUCAAGUGGCUUCCGAGUUCUCUGGAAGGGUUCAGCAACUGCCGAGGCAUCUGGGCAGCAGCCCCCCAGCUCUGUUGGUGUGACUUUUAGAUCUGAUGCUGUGUUUUGCGGACAUCCGAGUCAGAGUAGCUGACUGCACCUGGCCAGAAACUGAUGGGUCUUCCGGGUGUCCAGUCAUCCACUGAAUUGUCCUCGGCCACCGUCUCCUGCUUUAAAUUACUGCCACCAAUCUCAAAAUAUGAACACACACAGGUUAGUGGGGUUUUUCCCCCUCACCUCGACAUCCUUUUGUUCAAUUACGUUUGCUGCUGUAGCUUAGAGACGUGUCCUGAGACACCCAAAUCAACUUGCGCUUCUGAUAAACAAGGAGUCUUCCUCCUUAGCCUCCUGUUCCCAUUGGAAAAAUCCCACAAGCUAAAAAUCUGUAUGAAAAGUGGUCAUUUUCUUCAGGGCUAAAAUCUAUACACAAGAAAAUAAAGAUUUCCGUGUAAAUUUUACUAUUUUAUUUGUGAAAAAACUACAAGCAGAAUUCAUAAAUAGACAUUUCUAUUUAAAGCAGGAAAAUGAUAAAGUGGCUUCUAAUAACAUAGUCGUGCACAUGCCAGUAACAGGAAUAUAUUAACAUCUUUUAUUUGCUAGACAAAGAGCAGUGUCCAAUAUAAAUUUUCCCAAAAC